ACAUGCCUACAACUUAGAGUUAAUGCACCAGAUCCCAUUAGAACUCUACAGUUAAGCGUGCUUGGGCUAGAGUAGUACUGGGAUGGGUAACCGCCUGGGAAGUCCUAGUAUUUUACAUGCA
rfam:Picea glauca, whole genome shotgun sequence.